UACGUAGGGCGCGAGCGUUGUCCGGAUUUAUUGGGCGUAAAGAGCUCGUAGGCGGUUUGUCGCGUCUGCCGUGAAAUUUCCUGGCUUAACUGGGAGCGUGCGGUGGGUACGGGCAGACUGGAGUGCGGUAGGGGAGACUGGAAUUCCUGGUGUAGCGGUGGAAUGCGCAGAUAUCAGGAGGAACACCGGUGGCGAAGGCGGGUCUCUGGGCCGUUACUGACGCUGAGGAGCGAAAGCAUGGGGAGCGAAC
rnacentral:rRNA from 2 species